rnacentral:rRNA from 1 species
GGACUACCCGGGUAUCUAAUCCCGUUUGCUCCCCUAGCUUUCGUGCCUCAGCGUCAGAAAAGAUCCAGUGAGCCGCUUUCGCCACCGGUGUUCCUCAGGAUAUCAACGCAUUUCACCGCUCCACCCUAAGUUCCGCUCACCUCUAUCUUCCUCAAGCACGGAAGUUUUGGGCGCAAUUCCUCGGUUGAGCCGAGGGCUUUCACACCCAACUUUCCGCGCCGCCUACGCACCCUUUAAGCCCAGUGAUUCCGAAUAACGUUCGUACGGUUCGUCUUACCGCGGCUGCUGGCAC